AAACUUUUUCUUUACUAGAUUUUUCAAAAGAAAGGACAGUCGAUGACACCCAGUCGGCGACGAUCUUCAGAAGAUGAUCUGAUUUAAUUCACUCGGCUUCUAAAGACAACAAGAAAGGUUCGGCAUUAGAGUUUUAUCGAUUUUUUUGAAACCAGUAUAGGGUUUAUUCAUGUCACUACUCGAUUUAUCCAGGCAUUCUCUGCUUUUAUUUGGUAUGUGCAUUUAAUUGGAGAAAUUGCAGUAUUUAGUUUUAUUUUUGAAUGUAGAGUAAAUGAGAUUUUUAGGGAAUUCUGUGCCUUUCUUCUGAAUUUGGGAAAAACACGGGUUAGACGAUUUGUAGAUCUUUUAAUGUAUCUGUGUAUGGAUAGAUUUGUUGUGGGUUUCACAUAAGAGGUUUGAAAUUGUUCUAUUAGAAUUUGUUAUACUGCUUUAUUGUCUAGCAUACUUCACCUAAAUUUUAAUAUUUUUAUAUUUUUGAUAAUGCAUUUGUUUCAAUUUCUUUUGGUUCUCUUUUGUUUCUCCUGGAUAACGAAGGAAGAGUAGGGAUUUCCAAUGAUAUUUGAAAUGUCCGCUUAAAUAAUAAAAUGUUGUGAAACUCACGAAUUUAGCUAGACCACAUUUCUUUGGUGGAACUCAGCUUGAUUGACUUGAAUAAAACUAAAAACUUCUGUUUUUAAUCGAAGAACUCGAAUAUUUCAAGACGACACAAUUCCGUUUUGAAUUUAUGUUAGAGCUGAGUUUACAAAUUUAAUGUAGAAACAAUUCCGGUGGCAUGAACCUGAAGCUUUAAACCGGUUUUGAUUGUUUUAUUUUUUUAUAACAGGUAUACACCAUUGGCCAUGGUCUGACCAAGAAGUACAGAGAUCUUCAGACAAUAAGCAUACCAUCCAGGUACAAAAAUUAAACAUGUAACUACAUUGUGUUUUUACAAUUCUCAAAAGAAGAAAGAGAAACUACAGUAUGUUUGUAUUAUAGAUGAUUAAUCUCUUUGUCUUGUUCUCAUAUAAGUAAUCUUAUUUCCUUUAUUUGCACUAUUUCCUUUGUCUGUAGUAUAGUAUUGCUUUGCUUUGUUGAGGCACACUCUGGCUAGUUAGUAUCUCGUAAAAAUUUAUAUAAUCUUGUCCCUAUUUAAUAGCAUUGUGAGAGAAGGUAUAACAUAUAUUUAACUUUGUGGUCUAAGAGUAGUGUGUUUCCUCUCCACUAUGUCAAAAAUUGUUAUCUUAAUUUGUCAGGGACAUGAUGAAAAAUAGUUUUGUUGCUCGUUGUGUUCGUUUUCCAUUUAUCAUUUUCUGUUUAUUUCAAUCAUGUUAAGAUCUUUGUAACUUUUUAUUUAUCAUGUUCUGUUUAACUUUGUGGUCUAAGAGUAGUGUGUUUCAAUCAUGCUUGAUGCUUUUUGAGGAAGAUUUCUCCAUUAAACAUCUCUUUGACUGUUAAGGUAAUGGAAAUACACUAUCUGUUGAUAAAGGAUGUGCAGAACUACUUAAAGCACAGAACGGUUGAUGCCAUUGACACAGAAUCCUGUGUGCUUCAAUUUAAUGAUCAUAUUGUCUCUUUUGUUCACCAAAUUGUUGAUAUUUUAGUAAUCCUCUUCACUUGAAAUGCAGUCAUCGUUCAGUAUGCUACUUGUUCGUUUAAAAAUUUUAGAUCUUGUUGUAGAGAAACGUUGACAGCAUGUACAAGACAUUUACUGUGUUGGUGUAAUUUGUGGACUGAUCUGGUGCAAUAUAGCUCCUUAUCCCGGUGCAUAAAAUGGAUUGAUCUGGUGCAAUUUAGCUUAUUAUUUUGAUGCGAAAAAUAGUUCUUCAAACUGGUAUACCUUGUCAAAUAAGUGUGGUGCACUUUGAAAUGCACAGGUGGUGUAAAGUUCAGUCUACAAACUGGAUCAUUGGGCUUCUAUGGGCACAGUUAAUAAUUCUCUCUUUUCUCUUUCUCCAUAAGCAAAGAAAUGCAUCCAAUAAUGUUUCUAACUAAACAUUUGACAUUAUUCCUUUCUUUUAUAAGUAUUUUGUUAGGUGAAGAAUAGUGACCUCGACAUCAAAUGUGCAAAAUAGAUUUUCCCGACCAAUAUAUUGUAGUUGUUUAGGCCCAUCUUUUACUGCUUUGGAAACACUUAACCUUAUCAUUUUCGUACUCUUCCAAGGUGCAAUGGGUCCCCCCCAGGUAUAUGCCCCAACAAUUAGUGCUUUCAUGUAUUUGAAUCCCUCCAACUUUAUAGUAUUCAUCUGACAUUAUAUAUUUGGAGUUGACAUAGAAAUAUAAUUUUUUUACAUUAUUAGUAGGUUAUAACAAAUAAUGCAUCUUUGUUUGUCCCAAUUGUAGGUAUGGGAAGGCAAAGCUAUUGAUGAGAACAAAUAAAAUACAAAUGGGAAACUUAAGGUCCAGAAACAUUCAGAGUUUCUGCUGGUUUGAACAAGGAAAGGUUACAUGGGGCUUAAAUUAAUGUGGAGGUCAAGCUUACAAAAACGGAUCACUUUUAAAAUCAGGAGAUGAUGCGAUUGGACUUAAACCAGUCAUGUAUCAGAAAAAUUACAUGUAGCUAAGUGGAUAGCAAAUGAGGUUUCCAAUAGAUGCUAGCUUUAGCUGUUUGAUGUGUUUAAAGUAUUAUCAUGAUACAUAUAUAUUCAUUUUUUUUUAUGUUCAUUGCUAG
rnacentral:lncRNA from 1 species